ACUGUGUAGUACUUUUGAGCUCAGAUGGAGGGUGUGGUCUUCUGUAGACAGCUGUCAACUUUUUUAAUGGCUCUGAUGGGGAAUAUACAGCUCACGCAGAUGAAAAAUUUCUUGGUUUGUGAUAUCACCGGACAUGCCGUCAGUGGAAGCAUGCAUAAAAACUUGCCUGAAGCCACCGAAACCUGAACUGAUUUCUAACGAUUAGCAGGCAAAAACCCUGUGUGCGUAUGCGCAAAACAUUUCAGUGCAAAGCAAAGUGCGCAUGCGCACAAUAGAUUUUUGCCUGCAAAUUGUUAGAAAUCAGUUCAGGUUUCGGUGGGUGAAAUAGACAGGAAGAGUGACAGUGGACCAAGGGACAGAGCAAAACAUGUGGAAACUCCCAAAAAAACUGGGAGAGUUAACAGCUCUGGUAAUAACACAUAUCAGGAACUUGGGGGGCAAUUUAACUUGCUCUUCUUAAUUCCUGCUCUGAACACCAUAUCAGAAAAAAAAGUGAAGCAUGUAAUCAGUCCUUUUCAAGGAGAAGAAAACACUGUAGUGUAGUAAAAUUCUCAUCAAACAUACAUUUCUAGAUAGGACUGUGUGUUAAUACUACAUCUUUGAUAGAAAAUGUAUGACUGACCUUAAGCUUUUCUUCCAGGGAAGCAUUCCUGGCGUCAGCAGCAGAAUUAACCUGACUCUUCUCUUCCACCAUCUUCUGAAGAGCACUGAUCUUCACACGUUUCUUUACCAACUCAAUUCCUUUUGUAUGAGCUGAAACUGGCUGGUUCUCUGUUCCAUGGAAAGCUUUGUGUUGGCAAGUUCCGUCUGCGCUUUGGCGAGUUUCCCUUGUAAUUCUUUCACACGGCCUGCAAGUCUUUCCUUGUCCAUCUGAAUCUGCUUGCAAAGGAAAUCGAGCUGUAUUAUAAUUAGUGAGCUAACGGCAUUGCCGAGGAUCGUCGGCCGAAUCGUAGAUGGGUUAGGCCGAAUGGAGCAAUUUCCUGUAUUUUAAGCUGCUUGUAAAUGUUUUAUUGUAACACGUUCUUAUUGUAUUAUUCUGACUUUUAGCACUAAUGCACUUAUAUACGGAUUUGGACAGUUCUGAAUUAUCCAAUAAAUGAGAAUUAAGUAAAUAGUAUUUUACCAAUUGGGCUGAAGGGCUGCUAUAUUUAUACGCAUGUAAUAUUUAUUCACUGUUUUUUCUGUGUACACUAAAUGUUAACUAUGUUAGAAUAGUUUUUAACCUAUCGCUGUUUUUACGAAAGAAAAAAUUUUUUUAUUGCAUUAAGCAGCAUGGUUAUAUUCAGAUGUCACAUGAUUAGGGUUAGCACAAGGGUUAAAUGAAGUAACAACCCACUGAAGGUGUGAUUGGUCACAUAGGAUUUAAAUGUUGGAUGUUUUGUUUGUUCCUAUACACUUGAUAAAGGGCUCGUCCCGAAACAUGUUGUACACUCCCCAAUAAACGGAUUUUUUUGCAGUUUGAC